rnacentral:lncRNA from 1 species
AUCCGACAUACCGUGCGUUCUCCUCCCCUUUAUGCCCGCGCCUCCGUGUACGGCCCGCCCAUAGCUCCUUCGACGGCGCCGCCUAGGAACGCGGAGAAAAUAUGACAAAGGAACGGCCAAAAACAAAAAGAAAGACCUUUCUUUUGAAAAAACAAACAAAAAAAAGGAAUGCAACACGAGGACUUCCCAGGAGGUCACCCAUCCUAGUACUACUCUCGCCCAAGCACGCUUAACUUCGGAGUUCUGAUGGGAUCCGGUGCUUUAGUGCUGGUAUGAUCGCAUCCGACAUACCGUGCGUUCUCCUCCCCUUUAUGCCCGCGCCUCCGUGUACGGCCCGCCCAUAGCUCCUUCGACGGCGCCGCCUAGGAACGCGGAGAAAAUAUGACAAAGGAACGGCCAAAAAUAAAAAGAAAGACCUUUCUUUUGAAAAAACAAACAAAUAAAAGGAAUGCAACACGAGGACUUCCCAGGAGGUCACCCAUCCUAGUACUACUCUCGCCCAAGCACGCUUAACUUCGGAGUUCUGAUGGGAUCCGGUGCUUUAGUGCUGGUAUGAUCGCAUCCGACAUACCGUGCGUUCUCCUCCCCUUUAUGCCCGCGCCUCCGUGUACGGCCCGCCCAUAGCUCCUUCGACGGCGCCGCCUAGGAACGCGGAGAAAAUAUGACAAAGGAACGGCCAAAAAUAAAAAGAAAGACCUUUCUUUUGAAAAAACAAACAAAUAAAAGGAAUGCAACACGAGGACUUCCCAGGAGAUCACCCAUCCUAGUACUACUCUCGCCCAAGCACGCUUAACUUCGGAGUUCUGAUGGGAUCCGGUGCUUUAGUGCUGGUAUGAUCGCAUCCGACAUACCGUGCGUUCUCCUCCCCUUUAUGCCCGCGCCUCCGUGUACGGCCCGCCCAUAGCUCCUUCGACGGCGCCGCCUAGGAACGCGGAGAAAAUAUGACAAAGGAACGGCCAAAAAUAAAAAGAAAGACCUUUCUUUUGAAAAAACAAACAAAAAAAAGGAAUGCAACACGAGGACUUCCCACGAGGUCACCCAUCCUAGUACUACUCUAGUACCAAGCACGCUUAACUUCGGAGUUCUGAUGGGAUCCGGUGCUUUAGUGCUGGUAUGAUCGCAUCCGACAUACCGUGCGUUCUCCUCCCCUUUAUGCCCGCGCCUCCGUGUACGGCCCGCCCAU